AUGACUCUCAUCACCAUCCUCAUCUGGACGCUGACGUCCUGCUGCUGUUUUUCAGGAUGCAGCGGUCAGGUGACUGUGACUCAGCCUCCAGAAGUGUCGUUUUCUCCAGGAUCCACGGUCACUCUGAAGUGUACGACCAGCACAAACGUUGCUCUUUGCAGUGGUAAACAGUGCAUGUUCUGGUAUCAGCAGAAACCGGGUCAGACACCAAAGCUGCUGAUAAAACACGCCAACAUAACUCAUUCAGGGACACCAGCCCGGUUUGAGGGCAGAGGAAGCGGUUCUGACUUCUCCAUGACCAUCAGUGACCUUCAGCCUGAAGAUGCAGCAGUUUACUACUGUGAAAGCGUCCAUAUGAUAGAUAGUGUUGUUGUAUUCACACAGUGA